rnacentral:rRNA from 1 species
UACAGGGGGCUCGAGCGUUAGUCGGAAUCACUGGGCUUAAAGGGUGCGUAGGCGGCUCGCCAAGUGCUUUGUGAAAUCCCACAGCUCAACUGUGGAACAGCAGGGCAAACUGGCGGGCUUGAGGCAGGUAGGGGCCGGAAGAACAGUUGGUGGAGCGGUGAAAUGCGUAGAUAUCAACUGGAAUGCCGAUGGGGAAGCCGUCCGGCUGGGCCUGUCCUGACGCUGAGGCACGAAAGCCAGGGGAGCGAACGGG